rnacentral:tRNA from 1 species
UGGGGGUGUAGCUUAGUCCGGUUAAAAGCAGUCGCCUGUCGAGCGAAAGAACGUGGGUUCAAAUCCCAUCAUCCCCGU